ACUUCAAUUGAUCUUUCAUGCAACAAUCUUGAUGGGCCAAUACCAGAAGAAAUAGAAGUACUUAAAUCGUUGUAUGGUCUCAACUUGUCACACAAUGCUUUCACAAGCCGAAUCCCACCAUCUCUAGGAAAAUUAAGUAAACUUGAGUCAUUGGACUUGUCAAGCAACAAGCUUACCGGUGGGAUACCUAUGCAACUUGCAGAUAGUCUCAAUUUCCUAUCAGUCUUAAACCUUUCAUUUAAUCAAUUGGUUGGGCCAAUUCCAUAUAUCAAGCAAUUUGCAACAUUUUCAGAAGAUUCCUAUGAAGGGAACAAAGGAUUAUGUGGGCAACCUUUGAAGGCAGAAUGCGGAUCUGCAGACAGAAGACCGCCAGCUCCAUUUGAAGAUAUUCACUUAAAAUCUGGGCCUUUGAUUGACUGGAAUUACCUGUGUGUUGAACUGGGAUUUGUUUUAGGCUUUGGGAUGGUCAUUGGGCCGCUUGUGCUUUGGAAGAGGUGGAGGAUACGGUAUUACAAACACGCUGAUGACAUUUUUUUCAGGAUCUUUCCUCAGCUGUACCUUAGGUGGGAAAAAAACCAUCAAGUCCAACGACAUAGGAUUCGAAUGCAGAGGCACUAAUGUUUAUUCGAUGCGAGCUUUGUCAGUGGUCAGUGGAAGUUUUACUCCUCUCAAGCAAUUUCGUCACCUUGAUGUUCCAUGACAUCAACAGAAAGGUUGCUUGCCUCUGUAACAUGUGAUGCAGAAUAACAUGUUGGAGUUGUUAAUUAUCCUUAGUUUAAUAAUUUUUCAUGCAACAGCUUUUUAUUUAUUACCUUUAUUAGUAUUGUUGUUAAAGUAAGGGACAUGAGAUUGUUGCCUAUACCAAGAAUGAAUUUCUGACUAUAUGGUAUGCAAUGAAUUUUUUGAAGUUGGGGAGCUUGUCCAUGUUUUCAUCUUUUGAUGCAAAGUACUGGUUUUCAGUAA